GACGAACGCUGGCGGCGUGCUUAACACAUGCAAGUCGAACGGAGAGGCCCUGCUUGCAGGGUACUCGAGUGGCGAACGGGUGAGUAACACGUGGGUGAUCUGCCCUGCACUUCGGGAUAAGCCUGGGAAACUGGGUCUAAUACCGGAUAGGAGCCAUUUUUAGUGUGAUGGUUGGAAAGUUUUUUCGGUGUAGGAUGAGCUCGCGGCCUAUCAGCUUGUUGGUGGGGUAAUGGCCUACCAAGGCGGCGACGGGUAGCCGGCCUGAGAGGGUGGACGGCCACGUUGGGGCGGAGGUACGCCCCAGACCCCGACGGGAGGCAGCAGGGGGGAAUUUGGAACAGGGGGGGCAGGCCUGAUGCAGCGGCGCCGGGGGGGGGAUGGCGGCCUGCGGGUUGAAAACUCCUUUCGCUGGGGACGAAGUUUUUGUGACGGUACUUAAUAAAGAAGCACCGGCUAACUACGUG
rnacentral:rRNA from 1 species